UAAACAGUGGGAUGAUGAUGAAAUUCUUUAUCAAAUUUCGAGCCCUGAAACUCGGAACAUUAUUAGCAUCAUUUCUCAAGGCUUCCCAGGCAAAGUCUUCCACUGACAAAGUAAAAACACGUGAAGAGUCGACAUUGUGGACCUAUAACCAGAGCCUAAUGGACAAGGGGUCACUGCAGGAAAGGAAGCAAGGAGAGAGAUCAAGAGCGUUGGAACUGAACUUGGAUGCAAUUAGAGGGGUCUUGGAAGGCAUGAGCAUUAGGAGCCUUCGUCGCAAAGAUAGAAGAAGAACAAAAAGCUGCCCUGGUUCUAGGUCCACAAUGUCGACUCUUCACGUGU
rnacentral:misc_RNA from 1 species